UACGUAGGGGUCUAGCGUUGUCCGGAAUUAUUGGGCGUAAAGAGCUCGUAGGCGGUGUGUCGCGUCGGUCGUGAAAACUUGGGGCUUAACCCUGAGCUUGCGGUCGAUACGGGCAUCACUGGAGUUCGGCAGGGGAGACUGGAAUUCCUGGUGUAGCGGUGAAAUGCGCAGAUAUCAGGAGGAACACCGGUGGCGAAGGCGGGUCUCUGGGCCGAUACUGACGCUGAGGAGC
rnacentral:rRNA from 1 species